AUUGGCUGACGGAGGUUCUUGUGCUUCACUAUAUAAGUAAGGAAGCAAUAACUGAUUGCAGAUCCAAGAACCGAAGUUAAUGUGUGCUGUAUAAACGCGUUUACUAAUAACCACCAUGAAACUCAUGAUAGUGUGCCUCCUUUCUGUCGUUAUUUCGGCAUCGGGUUUUACGGAAGAGAAGCAGAAGAGACUUCCGUUUCCUCUUAUUUGUCUUUGGAAGCCUUCUGUUUGUAAAGGAAAGCGUUUUGAAAGCAUAGACCUACCUGAAGUGAAGGAGAAGCGAACAGAUUUACUAACAUGCUUCAACACGUGCAGUGAUUUAAAGUGUGUUGAUGAAAAAAUAUCAUCAGGAAGCUGUACACUCUGAAGACAGUUUGCAAAAAUCUUGUCGAAACACGGAUUCUUUCAAGGAAAAAGACGAUGAACUAGUUUUACCUACCGACAUAUGCCCGAAUAAUUUGACAACUUAGGACUGCAUUUUAGACAUAUGACGUAAUACAUGUCAUAAUUAUUAUAUUAGUAUAGUUAAAAAAAAAAAAAAAAAACAAAAAAAAAAAAAACCCAGAUCGAUAACAGUAAAACAGUGUGCUGUGAAAAAUAUGAAACCACUUGAAGAAGCACUCAAUUUAUGAUGCAUUAAACAUAUAUCGAAAAAAA